rnacentral:pre_miRNA from 1 species
UUAUUACUCCCUCCGUCCCAAAAUUCUUGUCUUAGAUUAGUCUAGAUACGGAUGUAUCUAACACUAAAACGUGACUUGAUACAUCCGUAUUUAGAAAAAUUUAAGACAAGAAUUUUGGGACGGAGGGAGUAUUUG